UCUCCGUAGGUGAACCAGCGGAGGGAUCAUUACAGGACCCGCAAUACUCCUACAACCCUGUGAACAUAACUAGAAUGACGUUCCUUGGGGGGGUGUGUUGGAGGGCGACUACUUGUGCUGGUGCGGUAAACCCCCUUGCACCACCCUAUAUUCAGUCUCUUUGCGUUGCCACGUCGACCCCCAUCAAACAAGAUAAAACUACCAACAAAGGACCCCUUGGUUCUCGCAUCUAUGAAGAACGCAGUAGAUACGAAGAUCACAGGUCCGAACUUCAAGCAC
rnacentral:misc_RNA from 1 species